rnacentral:tRNA from 1 species
AGGCCCCGGGGUGUCACACGUGAGAUUGCAAAUCUCAAGAGGCAGGUUAAAGCCUGCCGGGGCUUC